rnacentral:rRNA from 1 species
UACAGAAGGUGCAAGCGUUGCUCGGAAUUAUUGGGCGUAAAGGGUAGGUAGGUGGUCUCAUUUGUGUGGGGUGAAAGCCUUGAGCUUAACUCAAGAAGUGCCCCGCAAACGGUGAGACUGGAGUACUGGAGAGGCUAGCGGAAUUCCCGGUGUAGCGGUGAAAUGCGUAGAGAUCGGGAGGAACACCAGAGGCGAAGGCGGCUAGCUGGACAGUUACUGACACUCAACUACGAAAGCGUGGGGAGCAAACAGG